rnacentral:rRNA from 1 species
GGCCGCGAAUUCGCCCUUAGGGUUUGAUUAUGGCUCAGAUUGAACGCUGGCGGCAGGCCUAACACAUGCAAGUCGAGCGGAUGAAGGGAGCUUGCUCCUGGAUUCAGCGGCGGACGGGUGAGUAAUGCCUAGGAAUCUGCCUGGUAGUGGGGGAUAACGUCCGGAAACGGGCGCUAAUACCGCAUACGUCCUGAGGGAGAAAGUGGGGGAUCUUCGGACCUCACGCUAUCAGAUGAGCCUAGGUCGGAUUAGCUAGUUGGUGGGGUAAAGGCCUACCAAGGCGACGAUCCGUAACUGGUCUGAGAGGAUGAUCAGUCACACUGGAACUGAGACACGGUCCAGACUCCUACGGGAGGCAGCAGUGGGGAAUAUUGGACAAUGGGCGAAAGCCUGAUCCAGCCAUGCCGCGUGUGUGAAGAAGGUCUUCGGAUUGUAAAGCACUUUAAGUUAGGAGGAAGGGCAGUAAGUUAAUACCUUGCUGUUUUGACGUUACCAACAGAAUAAGCACCGGCUAACUUCGUGCCAGCAGCCGCGGUAAUACGAAGGGUGCAAGCGUUAAUCGGAAUUACUGGGCGUAAAGCGCGCGUAGGUGGUUCAGCAAGUUGGAUGUGAAAUCCCCGGGCUCAACCUGGGAACUGCAUCCAAAACUACUGAGCUAGAGUACGGUAGAGGGUGGUGGAAUUUCCUGUGUAGCGGUGAAAUGCGGUAGAUAUAGGAAGGAACACCAGUGGCGAAGGCGGACCACCUGGACUGACACUGACACUGAGGUGC